GGUUGGGUUGGGUUGGGUUGGGUUGGAAGGGUCUUUAAAGAUCACAGAACCAUAGCAUGGUAGGGUUGAAAGUGUCCUUCAAGAUCAUAGAGCUAUGGCAUGGUUGCAGUGGCAGAGUCCUGAAUGGUCACAGAAGCAUGGAAUGGUUGGGUUGGGUUGGGUUGGGUUGGAAGGGUCCUUAAAGAUCACAAAACCCCAAAAUGGGUUCCAUAGAAAAGAUGCUUAAUGGUCACAAAUCCACAGCAUGGAUUAGGUUGGAAGGGUCCUUAAAGAUCAGAGAACCCCAGAAUGGGUUAGGUUGGGAGGGUCCUUAAAGACCACAGAACCACGGCAUCGUUGGGUUGGAAGGGUCCUGAAAGAUCACAGAGCUAUGGAAGGGUUGCAGUGGGAGGGACCUGAAUGGUCACAGAAGCAUGGAGUGGUUGGGUUGGGUUGGGUUGGAAGGGUCCUUAAAGAUCACAGAACCACAGAAUGGAUUGGGUUGGAAGGGUCCUUAAAGAUCUCAGAACCACAGAAUGAAUUGUGUUGGAAGGGUCCUUAAAGAUCUUAGAACCACAGAAUGGGUUGGGUUGGAAGGGUCCUUACAGUUCACUGAACCAUAGCAUGGUAGGGUUGGAAGGGUCUUUCAAGAUCAUAGAGCUGUGGAAGGGUUGCAGUGGCAGGGACCUGAAUGGUCACAGAAGCAUGGAAUGGUUGGGUUGGGUUGGGUUGGGUUGGAAGGGUCUUUAAAGAUCACAGAACCACAGAAUGGAUUGGGUUGGAAGGGUCCUUAAAGAUCACAGAACCAUAGCAUGGUAGGGUUGAAAGGGUCCUUCAAGAUCAUAGAGCUAUGGCAUGGUUGCAGUGGCAGGGUCUUGAACGGUCACAGAAGCAUGGAAUGGUUGGGUUGGGUUGGGUUGGGUUGGGUUGGGUUGGAAGGGUCCUUAAAGAUCUUAGAGCUAUGGCAUGGUUGCAGUGGCAGGGUCUUGAAUGGUCACAGAAGCAUGAAAUGGUUGGGUUGGGUUGGGUUGGGUUGGGUUGGGUUGGGUUGGAAGGGUCCUUACAGAUCACAGAGCCGUGGAGUGGUUGGGUCGGGUUGGCUUGGCUUGGAAGGGCAUCGCCGCCCCUCUCCGUCCCCAACCGCAGCUCCCUGUGUGCCGCAGCAUGAACGUCGGCGUGGAGGACGCGACGUCGUCGGCCAGCGUCACGCUCCUGGUGCAGCCGCACACCACCAUCGCGGCGCUCAAGCAGCAGGUGUUCCAGGAUUACGGCUUCCACCCCCUGGUUCAGCGCUGGAUCAUCGGGCAGUGCCUGUGCGUGGACGAGCGCACGCUGUGGUCCUACGGCAUCCGGCGCGACGGGGACGCGGCGUUCCUCUACCUGCUGACGGCCAAGCGCGCCGAGCUGACGCGGCAGCGCUACGACGAGGAGCAGGCGCAGCUCGUGCUCAGCUCCGUCGCCGCGCUGGGAGACGAGCGGCGCAAGUACGGCACCGUGCCCGGCGCCGCGGGCAGGAAAGGUGAGACGCCCGUGGGCAAUGGGCGGCACGGAUCCUGCAAGGACGCUAACAUCGUGGAGGGGUGGGGCGGUGGGGGGUGGAAGGGUCCUUAAAGAUCACAGAACCACAGGAUGAUUGGGUUGGAAGGGUCCUUAAAGGUCAUAGAGCCAUGGGAUGGUUGGGUUGGAAGGGUCCUUAAAGGUCAUAGAGCCAUGGGAUGGUUGGGUUGGAAGG
ensembl:lncRNA